rnacentral:rRNA from 1 species
AUUGAACGCUAGCGGCAGGCUUUACACAUGCAAGUCGAACGAGUGGCGGACGGGUGAGUAAUGUCUGGGAAACUGCCCAGUAGCGGGGGAUAACUACUCGAAACGGUAGCUAAUACCGCAUACCAUCGGAUGUGCCCAGAUUGGAUUAGCUAGUUGGUGGGGUAACGGCUCACCAAGGCGACGAUCCGUAGCUGGUUUGAGAGGACGACCAGCCACACUGGAACUGAGACACGGCCCAGACUCCUACGGGAGGCAGCAGUGGGGAAUAUUGGACAAUGGGCGCAAGCCUGAUGCAGCCAUGCCGCGUGUAUGAUGAAGGCCUUCGGGUUGUAAAGUACUUUCGGCAGAGAAGCGUUACCCGCAGAAGAAGCACCGGCUAACUCCGUGCCAGCAGCCGCGGUAAUAC